UACGAAGGGGACUAGCGUUGUUCGGAUUUACUGGGCGUAAAGGGCGCGUAGGCGGCCAUCUUUGUCAGGCGUGAAAGCCCCGGGCUCAACCGAUGGACUGGCGUCUGGGACGGGGUGGCGUAGAGAUCGGGAGAGGAGGCGUGGAAUUCCCCAGUGUAGAGGUGAAAUUCGUAGAUAUUGGGAGGAACACCCCGUGGCGAAGGCGGCCCCCCUGGGUGGCCCUGAC
rnacentral:rRNA from 1 species